ACCUUUCUGAAAGGAAGGAGUGCCUUCGGGAGCGUUGAGACAGGUGGUGCAUGGUUGUCGUCAGCUCGUGUCGUGAGAUGUUGGGUUAAGUCCCGCAACGAGCGCAACCCUUGCUAUUAGUUGCUAACAGGUUAAGCUGAGCACUCUAAUGGGACUGCCGGUGACAAGCCGGAGGAAGGUGGGGAUGACGUCAAAUCAUCAUGCCCUUUAUGACCUGGGCUACACACGUGCUACAAUGGAUGGUACAGAGAGCAGCGAGGCAGCGAUGUGGAGCGAAUCUCAAAAAGCCAUUCUCAGUUCGGAUUGGAGUCUGCAACUCGACUCCAUGAAGUCGGAAUCGCUAGUAAUCGCGAAUCAGCAUGUCGCCGGUGAACUGCGUUCCGGGCCUU
rnacentral:rRNA from 1 species